UUACUUUGGCAGCAAAUAUACUAUAAUUGGAACGAUACAGAGAAGAUUAGCAUGGCCCCUGCACACGAAUAACACUCAAAAUUAUGAACCAUUCUGUAGGGUU